rnacentral:rRNA from 1 species
AGAGUUUGAUCAUGGCUCAGAUUGAACGCUGGCGGCAGGCCUAACACAUGCAAGUCGAGCGGUAACACAGGGAGCUUGCUCCUGGGUGACGAGCGGCGGACGGGUGAGUAAUGUCUGGGAAACUGCCCGAUGGAGGGGGAUAACUACUGGAAACGGUAGCUAAUACCGCAUAACGUCGCAAGACCAAAGAGGGGGACCUUCGGGCCUCUUGCCAUCGGAUGUGCCCAGAUGGGAUUAGCUAGUUGGUGAGGUAAUGGCUCACCAAGGCGACGAUCCCUAGCUGGUCUGAGAGGAUGAUCAGCCACACUGGGACUGAGACACGGCCCAGACUCCUACGGGAGGCAGCAGUGGGGAAUAUUGCACAAUGGGCGCAAGCCUGAUGCAGCCAUGCCGCGUGUAUGAAGAAGGCCUUCGGGUUGUAAAGUACUUUCAGCGAGGAGGAAGGCAUUAAGGUUAAUAACCUUAGUGAUUGACGUUACUCGCAGAAGAAGCACCGGCUAACUCCGUGCCAGCCGCCGCGGUAAUUC